UGCUGAUCAGACAUCCCAAAUACGAUUACUACAACCUGGACAACGACACCAUGUUGAUCAAACUGUCCCGGCCCGCCGCCAUGAACCGCAAUGUGGUCGCCGUUCCCCUGCCGAAGCAUGCGCCCU